rnacentral:tRNA from 1 species
CAAAGGCUAGUUUAUAAAAAUAGCUGCUUUGGGGGCAGCAGAUAUAGGUAAAACUCCUAUGCCUUUGA